GCGACCUAGCUGGCUGGGGCAGGGGAGGGGCCCGCCUUAUAUGGGAGCUGCGUGGGGACAAACUGCUCGGGCCCAACGCGCGGGGCUGAGAGACCGCCACGCCUGCUCCGGGUCACUCCGGCCACCUGGGGGGCGUCGGCGCGCAGACUCUGGCCAGUUCAGUAUUCAAACUCUUCAGGAGUGCUAACUUACUCAUGACAGCGAUUUUCUGUAUCGGGGUUUCAUUGGUCGGUGGUUUAGAAGGUUUUGCUCAUUCAUUCGUUAAUGUAAUUCCAACAACCUACACGUGUUUAUAAGCCCCCUUUCCAUCCACGACUUUGCAGUCUGGCACAAAACGGACCAUCGCAGCCCGGCAGCCGCUUUAGACAACAAACAGCAUGCCUGGAGCUUUUCAAUAGGAGGCAGUAAGGCUUGAUGAUCACAGACGAUACGGAACGGGCACUUUCUUAGCAGAAAAUAUUUCUAUUGGGGCGUGAAGGAAGUUUCUGAAAGGGAAGAUUAUUAUAAGAUAAGGGGUUUGCUCAUCUUCUCAGACUUUAGUGUGCCUGCUUUAAAGUGUUUUGCAAACUUGAAUGUUUAAAGGAAUCACCUGGCGGUCUUGUGAAACUGCAGCUUCUAAUGAGCAAGUCAGAGGGGAAGCCUGAGACGUGGCAUUUCCAGCACGUUCGGGGAGUGAAGAUGCUGUCGGCUGCCACCCUCCCUGCAAGGAGCCAGGGGAUAGAUGACCUCUACGCAAACUGUGAGAGCUUAAAAUAACUGAUAGUGAAAAACAGUUACAGAAGCUCUAGGCCGGGCACGGUGGCUAAUGCCUGUAAUCCCAGCACUUUGGGAGGCCGAGGAGGAUGGAUUGCCAGAACUCAGGAGUUCGAGACCAGCCUGGGCAACACGCUCCCCUCAAUGGGAAGUGGAAUCUCUUUCUCCACCUCUUCAAUAUGGCUGGCCCUGGAACUUCCCUUGGCACACAGAAUGCAGCAGAAUUGGCUUCAUAUUGUUUCUAAGCCUUGGCCUCAGAGGCCUUGCAUGCUUCCUAACCCUGGCUCUAGGAAACUUGCUGCUGUCAUGUAAUCAAGCCCAGGCUAACCUGCUGAAUGUUGGUGUGUCCCAGUCAAAUCCAGCACUGCAACCAAUAGCCAGCCAGCCACCAGACAUGUGAGUGGGGCCACCUCACACCAGCCAACCUCCACCAAGUCAUCAGAUGUAUGAGUGAGAACAGCCCAGAACAACUGAGCCCGUCCAGACCAGCGGAACGACCAAGCUGACCAGUAGACUUAGGAGCAGUAAACAGAUGAUUGUUC
rnacentral:lncRNA from 1 species